rnacentral:tRNA from 1 species
GCCGAAGUAGCUCAACGGUAGAGCACGGCUUUCGUAAAGCCGGGGUUAUGGGUUCAAAUCCCAUCUUCGGCU